UACGGCGGGUGCGAGCGUUGUCCGGAAUCACUGGGCGUAAAGGGCGCGUAGGCGGCGCGGGGAGUCAACGGUGAAAGCUCGGCGCUCAACGCCGAGUCGGCCGUCGAUACUCCCGUGCUCGAGCACUGUAGAGGCAGGUGGAAUUCCGGGUGUAGCGGUGGAAUGCGUAGAUAUCGAGAGGAACACCAGAGGUGAAGACGGGUUGCUGGGCCGACACUGACGCUGACAGCGCGAAAGCCAGGGGAGCAAACGGG
rnacentral:rRNA from 1 species